UCCUAACAAUUGGUCUACGUGUUCUAGUGUACACAGCUCAUUCGUUGCUUGUUAUAGUACUUGAUAACUAUUUACACGACUAGCUAAUAUGAUUGAUAAAGAAAAUUUUACGGUCAACUUUGUCAUACCCAGGUGGCAUUAAUCCUUUUGUUAAGAAGGGAAGCCAUUAAAUCAAUCCUACAUGGAAAAGAAAAAUGUCUAACAUAGAUGUUAAAAUACAUAUUAGAA
rnacentral:lncRNA from 1 species